AAAUGUCCCUACAUAUUGUUAGGUCAGAAGGGCGCUGUUGCGGUCGAUCGAUGCUAUUUUCGACCUAACGUGCGAAGGAAACAUACUUUUUGAAGUGAUUACUUUUAUAAUCAUUUGAAAACAUCAUGACUGGUUGUGUUCAUGCCAUGUUAAAAAAGUGACCUGCUCAAAGGGUUCCAGGACUCUGCACACCUCCUCCACCACCUCCCAUUCCUCUUGGGUCAGAGCAUCGACAGGUGCAUUGACAAUGGCCAAGUUCCUCUGCCAAGUUCUCUGAGGUGUGUCUGUCGUUGAACUCAAAGCAGUCCAGAAGACAUCGAAAAGUCUUCAUGAAGUGACAUGUAACCGACAUGUAAGAAGUGGUUACUCUUGAUGUCUAGCGGUCAGUGGUAAGGCAAACUGCAGUAGCUUUUUGGACUCUUUCCCGCACUUAAGCCUGUGUGCUCUCGUAUAGUUGUGGAAAAAGUGAUUUUGAAAGGGUUUUCCUGUUUUCAGUUGUGUACAUUGAAUAUUGCUAUUAAUUUCUAAAACCUCUGUCCUCCACGAUCGAAAAUCGGUGGUAUUUCGACACUGUGGCCUAUUUAUUGCCUUACCUCAUUUGCACACAUUGUAUAUAGACUUUUUCAAUUGUAUUAUUGACUGUAUGUUUGUUUAUUCCAUGUGUAACUCUGCGUUGUUGUUUUUGUCGCACUGCUUUGCUUUAUCUUGGCCAGGUCGCAGUUGUAAAUGAGAACUUGUUCUCAACUGACCGACCUGGUUAAAUUAAAAAAAUGAAGAUAUAGAGACACGGUGGCUAAGAAAAACUCCCUGGAAAGGCAGGAACCU